UGGGGAGCGAACAUCCAGGCUUCUCAGUUAGGUCUGGAACCAGCUCCUGAUGUUAUAUCGAGAACCUGCUGGCUGCUGCUUUUACGAGCCGUGUGGGAAAGGCACAUAGGGUCACACUUCAGCGCACCGAGACUCUCCACGACUUCAGAGGCAAUUAUACGUUCCCGGAAUUCUGCGGCAGGCCUCCAGGCUCUCUUUCCUCUGACUAGACUGCUCCCCCAUCGCAUCUGCCAACUGAAGGUCAACCUUGGCUUAAACCUUCCAGGAGCAUGAUGUCGUGGGAGAAGGCAGGCAUCAUCAGGGCUAGAAUAUCUGGUUUCAAAUCCCAGGAGUGUCACUUAAGAGCAGUGCCUCAAGCAAAUCACAACCUCUCUGAGCCUCAGUGUCUAAUUAUAUAAAAUGGGAAUGUUACCUGCUUUGCAGAGUUCGGAGAAUUUGAGAUAAUCUCUGCAAAGCACUGGGCACAGAACCAGCCCCAGUAUUUGCUCAUUAAACAGUUGCUGAAUUGAUUCUCCAUCCUCACCUUUUUAUAGGAGGCUGCUUUUUAUGUCCUCCUGAUUCCCCAACCAAAGCUCCAUGAGGCUGGAGACCUCGUCUCCUUUGUCUUCGCAUCUGUGCACUUUCCCGUGUCUAACACAGUUUUGGAACACAUUGAUUGACAAGUGGUGGAAAGAACUAGGCACACCUGACCUGAUGUUAGAAGGGAAGACAUGGGCAGAGCUGCCUCCCAGUUGUUGGAAGGGCCAGUUUACCUGGUGUCACUCCAGAGAGGGCAGAACCACCAUCAAGAGCUAUAAGGAGACUGAUGUUAGCCCAGGAUGGGAAGGACUGUCCAACACUUAGAGCUGUGUAACAUGAGAGCAAGUGCCAAAUGGAAGCUACUUGCCAUUAAGAAACUCAGAUUGUAGAAGGUAUCCCUGGGUUGGAUGAGGAUAAGACCGGAUCGGUGAUUCUUAACUUUGGAGAGUCACAGGUGCCUUUGAAAGUCUGAUAAAACUUAAAUGGAUCUUUUCUAGAAAAAUGGCCCAAAGCAUAACAGUUUGCAAAUCAUUUCAGGAGCUUCAUGGAUCCUAGGUAAGGCUCACCUGAAAAAGCACCCUGCUAGGAUGCUAUGUUCAACGUUCUUUUUCAUAAUUAAUAAUGAGAGGCUCACUGCUGUUAUUCAUAUCUUCAAAAUUCACACCUCCCAUGUAGAGGGCCAGCUUCAUAUCUAAACCUCAGUGCCCUUUGCCAUGAAUUCAAUGCUCAAUGGAUUUUUGGAUUAAGUGAAUGAAUAAAUAAAUGAAUGAAACGAUUGACUAGUCAUCUUUAAGGAAACCUGUGUGCUACAAGAAGAGAAGAAAAAAAGAAAACAAUGAAAGGUUGUAGAAAAAGACCAGCACAGGAUAACAAAAAGUUAGAGAUGAUUAAUCGGGUCAAAGGAGAGGAUCAAUUUGGGAAGGCCCAAACUCGUGGCCUCUGCCCAGGGCUGGGUCCCACUGUGAGCUUCUAAACCCAAGAUUCCAUGGGAGUAGACGGCGUCCUGCUGGCCCUGGCUGCCUGCC